CAGAAUACAUGAUGAUCUCCAACUUGAACUCUCUCACUGAUCAUUUGAUGAUUAUAAAAGAUCUGAUAUUCUG
ensembl:snoRNA SNORD81 Small nucleolar RNA SNORD81